rnacentral:antisense_RNA from 1 species
AGCUCCGGCUGUUCUGUAAAGAAACUAAACUGAGAUGGAUUGAGCCACCAUGCCCGGCCUAAGUCUAUAUAAUAUUUGGGCAGGACACACAGCCUGUGAAGAGUUGGAUGUGAAAAAUAGUCACUGAGAAAAUGCUGCCUCA